rnacentral:rRNA from 1 species
GCCAGCAGCCGCGGUAAUUCCAGCUCCGCAAGUGUAUUCCUAUACUGUUGCGUUUAAAUAGCUCGUAGUUGGAUCUGCGUGUUUAGCGCGCGGUGUCACUUAUUUGUGACUACUGCAGUGCGACACAAAGCGCCAAAUACUUUAUAAAAGUAGUUGGCCAGUUUACUUUGAACAAAUCAGAGUGCUCAAUACGGGCGUUUCGCUUGUAUGGUCGUGCAUGGAAUAAUAGAAUAGGACCUUGGUUCUAUUUUGUUGGUUUUCGGAAUCGAGGUAAUGAUUAAGAGGGACAGACGGGGGCAUUCGUACUGCAACGUGAGAGGUGAAAUUCUUGGAUCGUUGCAAGACGAACUACUGCGAAAGCAUUUGCCAAGAAUGUUUUCAUUAAUCAAGAACGAAAGUAAUGGGUUCGAAGGCGAUCAGAUACCGCCCUAGUCAUUACCGUAAACGAUUGUAACUGGGAGCUAGCAGGAGUCCUUUGUGACUCUGCUAGAACCCACCCGGAAACGAUAAGUUUUCGAUAUCCGGGGGAAGUAUACUUGCAAAUGCGAAACUUAAAGGAAUUGACGGAAGGGCACCACCAGGGGUGGAGCCUGCGGCUUAAUUUGACUCAACACGGGGAAACUCAUCCGGUCCGGACACCGUGAGGAUUGACAGAUUGAGAGCUCUUUCUUGAUUUGGUGGGCAGUGGUGCAUGGCCGUUCUUAGUUGGUGGAGUGAUUUGUCUGGUUUAUUCCGAUAACGAACGAGACUCUGGCCUACUAACUAGUUGCGCGAUCUUCUUGUCGUGCCAACUUCUU